rnacentral:lncRNA from 1 species
GUCUGGGCUCUGCAUGGCACUAGGCCCGCAGCAGGCCUGGCAGGGCCGCAGGCAGGGAGUAACACCAGCACAUGAAUCCUUAUGGAUUAAUUAUUUAGCUCUGACCGAUCAAAAGGGGUUUAAAACAUCCCUGAAAUGUGCCAAGUGAUACCCGCUGUCACCCCCUGCUCUGGGAGGUGUACGGCUGUGGUCUGCCGACGUGCGGCCUCCCCAUAUCAGCCCAGCCGCUCCCUCCCUCCCUGCAAGAAGGGAACACAUUUUCCUUCCCCUCCUCCUGAGCUCUCGCAGGAUGGCUCCAGCUUCAUGUAGAGGAGGGAAGAGCAGGAGGAGGAGGGGGAGGAAGCACAUCACAUCAGAGGGCUGGACGUGCCUCCAGACUCCUGCUCCCAGGGGACUGCCUGAAUGAAUGGCUCAUGAUCUGCUCCAUUAUCCUCGGAUAAUCUGCCAAUUGUCUCUUUAAACCCUUGCACCUGCACGUUGAUGUCUGCAAAACAUUCUCGUUGUUUUACUGGUGUUUGCCAGCAGGAGCUACAGGAGGGACCUCACUUGGUUUCCAAGUUGAUGUGGUCUGUCACGAAGAGCACCGAAAAGCCUGUGGACUCAUCCUGGGUGGAUUUGUGCCUCUCACUGGACAACAACUCCCAUGCCAGAAUUCAGCACUUCUCUGAGAAAGCUGCACUGGGUGAGCCAGUCCUGCCCAUUUC